GACCUGGCUUCGGCUGGGAAGGGGUGGCCGGAUUCCUAGGAUGCGAGUGCCAUUUCUUCCCAGGCGGGGGUCAAAUCCUAGGAAAACGGAGCCCUCCAGUCCACCCGCCUGCCCCAAAGGGGCGCAGGCCGUGGUCACCUAAGAAGCUGCGAGGAUCCGGCCACGCUGUCCUUCUCCCAGCCGGCUGGGAAGACUCCUGGCCAGCCGCUCGUCCCGGGUACCAGAGGGAAGGAGGUGCGCCAGGCUUGCCAGACAGACCAGCGGAGGCAACCUCCGCCUGACCUCCUGCCCGCCACGCGGACCCAGACUGGGCGCCACACAUUCUUUUCAGGGGGAGGGCCCGGCGCGGUCACGCGCGCGAGGCUUACGCUCUCCCCCCAGCACACCUGCGCUCCGCCCCUUAGUCCCAGGCUGGCGACAGGAAAACGCAUUUGGGAAUCCAGGGCGGCGGCCGAAGCACCCCCCAGCUCCUCCCUUUGCCAGGGCUGGAGUUAUCCAGAGCCUGCCGCGUCUCCCAACCAGCCCGCAUCGCCCGCCAUCCCCUCGCCCCCCCCCCCCCCCCCGGUCUGCCGCGGCACCGGUAUCCGCAGCCACAGCCGGGAGCCGGGGAAGGGGGAGGAAUCAAGGGAUGAGCACCGGGAGGGCAUCGGGGCCCCUGAGCCGGACUAGGACGCCCCUGGAGCCAGAAUCGGAGCCGGAGCCUGAACCAAAGCACCGGUACCGGGUGGGCCAGCUGCAGCCCCCUAAACCCAGGAGGCGCCCUGGCCCGCGCUCGCCCCCCAGGGCCUCAUGUCGGAACCACAGCCUGUCCUGGAGCCGCCCCAACAUGGGCUGUACAUGCUCUUCCUGCUUGUGCUGGUCUUCUUCCUCAUGGGCCUUGUAGGCUUCAUGAUCUGCCACGUGCUCAAGAAGAAAGGCUACCGCUGCCGCACGUCUAGGGCCUCCGAGCCUGACGACGCCCAGCUUCAGCCCCCUGAGGACGAUGAUGUGAAUGAGGACACAGUAGAGAGGAUUGUUCGCUGCAUCAUUCAAAAUGAAGCCAAUGCUGAGGCCUUGAAGGAGAUGCUGGGGGACAGUGAAGGAGAAGGGACAGUGCAGCUCUCCAGCGUGGAUGCCACCUCCAGCCUGCAAGAUGGAGCCCCUUCCCAUCAUCACACAGUGCAUCUGGGCUCUUCAGCUCCUUGCAUCCACUGCAGCCGCAGCAAGAGGCCCCCACUUGUCCGUCAGGGCCGAUCCAAAGAAGGAAAAAGCCACCCCCGAGCUGGGGAGACCACUGUAUUCUCUGUGGGCAGGUUCCGGGUGACACACAUUGAGAAGCGCUAUGGGCUACAUGAGCAUCGUGAUGGUUCCCCUACGGACAGGAGCUGGGGCUCUGGCGGGGGGCAGGACCUAAAGGGUGUUCAGGGGUCUGGGGGAGGCCAGCCUAGGGCAGGAACGCCUGCCAUCGAGAGACUGCCUCCUGAGGAGCUGCAGCCCCAGGCCCUAGCUAGCCCCCCAGUGCAGAAUGGAGGACUCAGGGACAGCACUCUUAUCCCUUGUGCACGUGAGGGAAACCCUGGGAUCUCUGCAGAGUCAACACUGGGGGCCAGAGGGAGAGACCCAAGCCCAAGGCUGCCCAGUCAAAGGGCAAAUGAACAACCAAACAAACUGGACACCUCAGAUCACCAGGUGUCUCCAUCACAGGAUGCAGAAGGUAUAUGAGGGGAGUCUACCUGAACCCCAAAUCAGAGUCCUAGAAAUGGGAUCCCAGGAGAUGAACAGGGAUGGAAUGGAGAGGAUAGUGCAGUAAAGAGCCUGAAUAGUGAACUAAGCCCACGACGAUUCCUCUUCACUCCUUGUGGCCAAGGCAAGUAGAAAGACUGGACACUUGUGCUCUAGUGGCUUCCAUGUAUGUCUAAAAUAAAGUCCGAAGUGUUGCUAACAGUGAUAUACCAGGACCAACAUAAGCUGACCCCUAUAACCUCUCUUUUAAUUGCCUGUCCCUUUGCCCACAGUGCUCUAGGCACACUGGCCUUCUCUCAGUUCCUUGACUCUCCAAACUUAUUUCCACCUCAGGGCCUUUGCACUCACCAUUUUCUCUCCCCAGGAUGUUUUUCACCUAUAUCUUUGCAUGGCUGGCUGGCUCCUUUCUUUUCUUUUCUUUUCUUUUUUUGAGACAGGGUCUCACUAUGUAGCUCAUGCUGGCUUCAAACUCACAGUGAUCCUCCUGCCUCUGCAUCCCGAGUGCUGGGAUUACAGGCGUGCACCGUGGCUGGCUCCUUCUUGAUACUCAGGCCACUUGUUCAGAGAGGCCUUCUCUCUAGAUUAUACCCCUUUGCUACCCUUCAUCAUAGCACCUUUUUUAUUUCCAUCUUCAUCUGAUUAUUUAUUCUUUUUUUUUUUUUUUUUUUGGUA